rnacentral:rRNA from 1 species
ACUCAAAGGAAUUGACGGGGACCCGCACAAGCAGCGGAGCGUGUGGUUUAAUUCGAUGCAACGCGAAGAACCUUACCAGGGUUUGACAUGCCAUUGCACCACCCUCAAUCGGGUGUCCCGCUUUGCGGGCGAUGGCACAGGUGCUGCAUGGCUGUCGUCAGCUCGUGUCGUGAGAUGUUGGGUUCAGUCCCGCAACGAGCGCAACCCUUGCCGCUAGUUAAGCUCUCUAGCGGGACCGCCGCGAUCAACGCGGAGGAAGGCGGGGAUGACGUCAAGUCAGCACGGCCCUUACGUCCUGGGCUACACACACGCUACAAUGGUCGCUACAACGGGCAGCCAACCCGCGAGGGGGAGCCAAUCCCAGCAAAAGCGGCCUCAGUUCAGAUUGCAGGCUGCAACUCGCCUGCAUGAAGUAGGAGUUGCUAGUAACCGUGGGUCAGCACACUACGGUGAAUACGUUCCCGGGUCUUGCACACACCGCCCGU